AAUAUUGGACAAUGGGCGCAAGCCUGAUCCAGCCAUGCCGCGUGUGUGAAGGAGGUCUGCGGAGUGUAGAGCACUAUACUUUGGGAGGAAGGAGAGUUAACGAAUACUUAACUGUUGUGACGUUACCAAGAGAAUAAGCACCGGCUAACUUCGUGCGAGCAGCCGCGGUUAUGCGAAGGGUGCAAGUGUUAAGCGGAAUUACUGGGCGUAAAGCGCGCGUAGGUGGUUCGUUAAGUUGGAAGUGAAAGCCCCGGGCCCAACCUGGGAAUUGCUUUCAAAACUGGCGAGCUAGAGUACGGUAGAGGGUGGUGGAAUUUCCUGUGUAGCGGUGAAAUGCGUAGAUAUAGGAAGGAACAUCAGUGGCGAAGGCGACCACCUGGACUGAUACUGACACUGAGGUGCGAAAGCGUGGGGAGCAAACAGG
rnacentral:rRNA from 1 species